AAAAAACGGAUUUUUUUUCCUUUUCAUUUCCAGAAAAGAGCUCACCUUCUUUUAAUUUUUUCCACUGCUCCUAUUUUCUUCUUCCAUCGGCCUCCAUCUUCACUGUUCCAUCAUUAUAGGCUCUUUCUCUUUUCCAACAGAAUUGUUUCCUCAUCUCUCACUUUCCUUUCGUCUCAUAUACUCCUUCUGUUAAUAACCUUCAACACAUAACCUCACCAUAACCGCACUCUUUUUCUUCACUCAUCACACAAACCCUAACCUUUUCCUUUCUAUC
rnacentral:lncRNA from 1 species